GGGUUGUGAGGUUAAGCGACUAAGCGUACACGGUGGAUGCCCUGGCAGUCAGAGGCGAUGAAGGACGUGCUAAUCUGCGAAAAGCGCCGGCGAGGUGAUAUGAACCUUUGACCCGGCGAUGUCCGAAUGGGGAAACCCAGUGCAAUCCGUUGCACUAUCGUUAACUGAAUACAUAGGUUAACGAGGCGAACCGGGGGAACUGAAACAUCUAAGUACCCCGAGGAAAAGAAAUCAACCGAGAUUCCCCCAGUAGCGGCGAGCGAACGGGGAGCAGCCCGGAGUCUGAAUCAGCUUGUGUGUUAGUGGAACGGUCUGGAAAGUCCGACGGUACAGGGUGAUAGUCCCGUACACGAAAGCACACUUGCUGUGAACUCGAAGAGUAGGGCGGGACACGUGGUAUCCUGUCUGAAUAUGGGGGGACCAUCCUCCAAGGCUAAAUACUCCUGACUGACCGAUAGUGAACCAGUACCGUGAGGGAAAGGCGAAAAGAACCCCGGCGAGGGGAGUGAAAAAGAACCUGAAACCGUGUACGUACAAGCAGUGGGAGCCUCUUUAUGGGGUGACUGCGUACCUUUUGUAUAAUGGGUCAGCGACUUAUAUUCUGUAGCAAGGUUAACCGUAUAGGGGAGCCGAAGGGAAACCGAGUCUUAACUGGGCGUUAAGUUGCAGGGUAUAGACCCGAAACCCGGUGAUCUAGCCAUGGGCAGGUUGAAGGUUGGGUAACACUAACUGGAGGACCGAACCGACUAAUGUUGAAAAAUUAGCGGAUGACCUGUGGCUGGGGGUGAAAGGCCAAUCAAACCGGGAGAUAGCUGGUUCUCCCCGAAAGCUAUUUAGGUAGCGCCUCGUGAACUCAUCUUCGGGGGUAGAGCACUGUUUCGGCUAGGGGGCCAUCCCGGCUUACCAACCCGAUGCAAACUACGAAUACCGAAGAAUGUUAUCACGGGAGACACACGGCGGGUGCUAACGUCCGUCGUGAAGAGGGAAACAACCCAGACCGCCAGCUAAGGUCCCAAAGUCAUGGUUAAGUGGGAAACGAUGUGGGAAGGCACAGACAGCCAGGAUGUUGGCUUAGAAGCAGCCAUCAUUUAAAGAAAGCGUAAUAGCUCACUGGUCGAGUCGGCCUGCGCGGAAGAUGUAACGGGGCUAAACCAUGCACCGAAGCUGCGGCAGCGACGCUUAUGCGUUGUUGGGUAGGGGAGCGUUCUGUAAGCCGUUGAAGGUGUCCUGUGAGGGGUGCUGGAGGUAUCAGAAGUGCGAAUGCUGACAUAAGUAACGAUAAAGCGGGUGAAAAGCCCGCUCGCCGGAAGACCAAGGGUUCCUGUCCAACGUUAAUCGGGGCAGGGUGAGUCGACCCCUAAGGCGAGGCCGAAAGGCGUAGUCGAUGGGAAACAGGUUAAUAUUCCUGUACUUGGUGUUACUGCGAAGGGGGGACGGAGAAGGCUAUGUCAGCCGGGCGACGGUUGUCCCGGUUUAAGCAUGUAGGCGGAGGUUCCAGGUAAAUCCGGUACCUUGUUAACGCUGAGGUGUGAUGACGAGGCACUACGGUGCUGAAGUGAUAAAUGCCCUGCUUCCAGGAAAAGCCUCUAAGCAUCAGGUAACACGAAAUCGUACCCCAAACCGACACAGGUGGUCAGGUAGAGAAUACCAAGGCGCUUGAGAGAACUCGGGUGAAGGAACUAGGCAAAAUGGUGCCGUAACUUCGGGAGAAGGCACGCUGAUGUGUAGGUGAAGUCCCUGCGGACGGAGCUGAAAUCAGUCGAAGAUACCAGCUGGCUGCAACUGUUUAUUAAAAACACAGCACUGUGCAAACACGAAAGUGGACGUAUACGGUGUGACGCCUGCCCGGUGCCGGAAGGUUAAUUGAUGGGGUUAGCGGCAACGCGAAGCUCUUGAUCGAAGCCCCGGUAAACGGCGGCCGUAACUAUAACGGUCCUAAGGUAGCGAAAUUCCUUGUCGGGUAAGUUCCGACCUGCACGAAUGGCGUAAUGAUGGCCAGGCUGUCUCCACCCGAGACUCAGUGAAAUUGAACUCGCUGUGAAGAUGCAGUGUACCCGCGGCAAGACGGAAAGACCCCGUGAACCUUUACUAUAGCUUGACACUGAACACUGGUCCUUGAUGUGUAGGAUAGGUGGGAGGCUUUGAAGCGUGGACGCCAGUCUGCGUGGAGCCAACCUUGAAAUACCACCCUUUAAUGGCUGGUGUUCUAACGUAGACCCGUAAUCCGGGUUGCGGACAGUGUCUGGUGGGUAGUUUGACUGGGGCGGUCUCCUCCCAAAGAGUAACGGAGGAGCACGAAGGUUGGCUAAUCCUGGUCGGACAUCAGGAGGUUAGUGCAAUGGCAUAAGCCAGCUUGACUGCGAGCGUGACGGCGCGAGCAGGUGCGAAAGCAGGUCAUAGUGAUCCGGUGGUUCUGAAUGGAAGGGCCAUCGCUCAACGGAUAAAAGGUACUCCGGGGAUAACAGGCUGAUACCGCCCAAGAGUUCAUAUCGACGGCGGUGUUUGGCACCUCGAUGUCGGCUCAUCACAUCCUGGGGCUGAAGUAGGUCCCAAGGGUAUGGCUGUUCGCCAUUUAAAGUGGUACGCGAGCUGGGUUUAGAACGUCGUGAGACAGUUCGGUCCCUAUCUGCCGUGGGCGCUGGAGAAUUGAGGGGGGCUGCUCCUAGUACGAGAGGACCGGAGUGGACGCAUCACUGGUGUUCGGGUUGUCAUGCCAAUGGCACUGCCCGGUAGCUAAAUGCGGAAGAGAUAAGUGCUGAAAGCAUCUAAGCACGAAACUUGCCCCGAGAUGAGUUCUCCCUGAGACUUUAAGUCUCCUGAAGGAACGUUGAAGACUACGACGUUGAUAGGUCGGGUGUGUAAGCGCAGCGAUGCGUUGAGCUAACCGAUACUAAUGAACCGUGAGGCUUAACCUUACAACGCCGAAGCUGUU
rnacentral:rRNA from 1 species